rnacentral:rRNA from 1 species
ACAGGUGGUGCAUGGUUGUCGGUCAGCUCGUGUCGUGAGAUGUGGGUUAAGUCCCGCAACGAGCGCAACCCUCGACCUUAGUUGCCAGCAUUCAGUUGGGCACUCUAAGGUGACUGCCGGCUAAAAGUCGGAGGAAGGUGGGGAUGACGUCAAAUCAUCAUGCCCCUUAUGACCUGGGCUACACACGUGCUACAAUGGGCGGUACAAAGGGUCGCGAACCCGCGAGGGGGAGCCAAUCCCAAAAAGCCGCUCUCAGUUCGGAUUGCAGGCUGCAACUCGCCUGCAUGAAGCCGGAAUCGCUAGUAAUCGCGGAUCAGCAUGCCGCGGUGAAUACGUUCCCGGGCCUU